rnacentral:rRNA from 1 species
AUUGAACGCUGGCGGCAGGCCUAACACAUGCAAGUCGAACGAGUGGCGGACGGGUGAGUAAUGUUUGGGAAUCUAGCUUAUGGAGGGGGAUAACUACGGGAAACGGUAGAUAAUACCGCGUACCAUAGGAUGAGCCCACGUGGGAUUAGGUAGUUGGUGUGGUAAAGGCUCACCAAGACGACGCUCCCUAGCUGGUCUGAGAGGAUGACCAGCCACACUUGAACUGAGACACGGCCCAGACUCCGACGGGAGGCAGCAGUGGGGAAUAUUGGGCAAUGGGGGCAACCCGGAAGCAGCCAUGCCGCGUGAAUGAAGAAGGCCUUCGGGGUGUAAAGUACGUUCAGUCGGGAGGCGUUACCGACAGAAGAAGCACCGGCUAACUCCGUGCCAGCAGCCGCGGUAAUAC